UCACUUGGAGGAGGAAGUUAAAUACAGGCAGGGAGAAAGCUAAUAUGAACCUUGUAGUGUUGGUUUGGAAUUUGAACUGUUUGUUGCAAACUGUUGCAAACUUGUGGUUCUCAGUAUUUGUAGAGCGGUGUAAGAACAAAUAAGUGUAAAUGUGUGUGUGUGUGUGUGUGUGUGUGUGUGUUUACUUUUAUUUCUUAGCUCUGUCUACUGACAGAGCCUGGAAGCAGUGACACACUAUUAGCUAUUAGUACAGCUAGUACCCAGAUCUUGUCUUCUACAUACCAUUCUCCACUAAAAGGAAUAAAUUGAAGAAAUGAUUGUUUCCAGGACUGGGAAAGGGAGAGUACCAGAUGAGAUUGGAACAUCUUUGCAAUUAAGAAUCUGACUUGAUUUGUUUUGAUGUUUGACUGUUGAUAGCUUUUAAGCUUCAUUCCUCAUUCACUUUCUGCCCCACAUCUGGGUAAGCUGACAAGAAAGCUUGGGUGCUUCUUCUUUUGUUGCUGGCAGAAGUUCAAACAAUAUAUAGGAACCUUCAUCCAAGCCUCAACCCCUAACAAGAACCCAAGCCAAUUUCCUUUCCCUGGUGUCUCAAGCCAUUUUUGGACAAGCUUAGGAAGCCUCCCCUGCUCUUCCCAGAAAGUCUCUUUAUGGUGGCUAAAAUAAUCUUAGUGUGCCAGAAAGCAAGGAAGUCCUUGAUGAUUGUGACUACAUAUCAAAGGAAGCCACUGGCCAAAUCUGGGACGAUUUGAGUAUCAAAAUUCUACACUCACUUCCUUGGUGAUCUCAUCUACUCUCAAGGACUGGAUGUCCCCCCAAAAAAUAUGUCUGCAUCCAACCCCAGAAUCUAUGAAUAUAACUUUAUUAGGAAGGAAGAGAGAGAGGGAGUGUACUGGUUUAUAUAUAUUAUGUCCCCAAGAAAAAACCAUGUUCUUUGAUGCAGUCUUGUGGGGGCAGACAUUA